AGAAAAAAAACAGACGGAUAGAGCCCUUGGACAAAUGGUGGAUGCAAAGCUAUACAGACAAAAUCUCACACAGAAGCAUACACAUACACACUCACAAAAAGAGGGAAAGGGGUAAAAAUCAUAAAUCUUGCUCUCAAAGUGCACCUCCUCAGUUUGGGGUGAUUCGUUGUCUAUUCAUGUAUUCCACAGAUGCAGGGUACAUCGAGUUGACUGUGGAGCUUUAAUCCGCUGCUUCUGAGGCUGCUGGGAGAGAUUUCCCUUUCUCUUCUUUGUUCUCACAGCUCCCAGGGGCUCAGCUUUGGAUUUGGCCCGGCCUCUGCCUGUAGGUCGCCGGAGGGCGUCUGUUCUUCUCUUAGACAGGACAGGGCUAAAAGAGCCGCUGAUUCGGGGGCUCUGGCCCACCCAGGCCGGGGGGAGGGAGGGGCACGGAGUGCGCGGCGGGCCUGCGGUGGCAGAAGCCGGCGUGACGUUGCACCAGCCCGAGGCGUGCCGUGCGUUCUCCCGGGGGAGUUGUCCCUGGAUCCCGGGACCCUGGCAGUGGCGAGCUGCACAGGCUCCCCGGAAGGUGGGUGUGGAUAGUGACCUGUGCUCGCUCACAGGCUUCUUGGUGGCGGCAGCAGCAGCCUUAGCGUCUCAUGCCCGUCUCUGGGGUCCGCGCUUUUAGCCGCGGCUCGCGCCCGUCUCUGGAGCUCCUUUAAGCAGCGCUCUUAAUCCCCUCUCCUCGUGCACCAGGAAACAAAGAGGGAUGAAAAAGUCUCUUGCUUCUUCGGCAGGUCCAGACUUUUCCCCGUGCUCUCUCCCGGCUAGCCGUGGCGCACUAACCUGCUGCAGGCUGUUUUCACGCCGCCAACCCCAGUCCUCUCCCUGCGCUCCGACCGAAGCCCGAACCUCAGCUCCCAGCCCCGCCCGCCCCGGCGGGUGAGCAGACAAGCCUCUCGAGCUGUUCGCAGUCUGGGCAGCAGGAACGAGAAUGCUCUGUUCCCCACGUCAUCAUUAGAAGGGGAUAUUUACUACUUCUCCUCUUGUUUGCCGACCUGAAUCAUUAGAAGAUGAAUUGACAAGAAAACAAACAAUCUCAAGAGUCAAAAAGACAACUCAACAGCAAAAAAAAUCCCACCAAAAAACCCCCCAAAAACUGAUUUUUAAAUGGGCAAAGGACUUGAAUAGACAUUUCUCCAAAGAAUAUAUACAAAUGGCCAAUAACUAUGUGAAAAGGUACCCAGCGUCACUAAUCAUUAGGGACAUGCAAAUCAAAACCACAAUGAUAUACCACUUCACACCCAUUACGAUGACUAUUACAAAACAGAAGAACAAACAACAGGAGAAAAAACAGAGGAUAGGUGUUGGCAAGGAUGUAAAGAAAUUGGAACCCUGUGCACUGCUGGUGGGAAUGUAAAUGGUGCAGCUGCUGUGGAAAACCAUAUGGCAGUUCCUCAAAAAAUUAAAUAUAGAAUUACCAUAUGACCCAGCAAUUCCAAUUCUGGGUAUAUACAUAAAAGAAUUGAAAGCAGGGACACAAACAGAUGUUUGUAUACCAAUGUUCAUAGCAGCAUUAUUCACAAUAGCCAAAAGGUGGAAGUAACUGAAGUGUCUAUUGACGGAUGAACAGAGAAGCAAGGUGUGGUCUAUAUACAUACAAUGAAAUACUACUCAGCCUUAAAAAGGAAGAAACUUCUGGCACAUGCUACAACAUAGAUGAACCUUGAGGACAUUAUGCUAAAUGAAAUAAACCAGUCAUAAAAGAACAAAUACUGACAUGGGGUACUUACAGUAGUCAAAUUCAUAGAGACAGAAAGUAGAUGGUGGUUGCCAGGGCUGGGAAGAGGACAUUCUUCUUUUAUUAAACUGUAAUUUUAUUUUUAUGUUAUUCUGUAAUAUACCUGUAGGCAUAUAAAAUGCAGCAUUAUUUAUAACAGUAAAAGAUUAUUAAAACAUACAAACAAAUAAAAACAGUAAAACAUUGGUUGAAUAAAACUAAGUUACAUCUCCAAAAGUAUGUAACUUUCUCAAGAUGGAGUACUACAGAAACAUUUAAGAAAAGGAUAUUGAUAUAAGAGAAUUCCAGGAUACAGUGUUACAUUAAAAAAUCAAGAUAGUGAACAGUGUAUAUAGUAUAUUACCCUUUAUGUAGGCUACACACACACACACACACACACACACACACACACACACACACACACACGUAUUUACGGAAACACACACAGGAUAGGGAAACCAGAGGCUAAAUUUUUUUUAAUAAUGCAUUUGAGGAGUAUAAAAAAGGUGUAAGGUUUUCCUGAAUAUUCUUUGGUUUCUCAUUUUAAAUUUAGGACUCCGCCUGCCAAUGCAGGGGACGUGGGUUCGUGCUCCGGUCCGGGGGGAUCCCACAUGCCGCAGAGCGGCUGGGCCCGUGAGCCAUGGCCGCUGGGCCUGUGCAUCCGGAGCCUGUGCUCCACAGCGGGAGAGGCCA